rnacentral:tRNA from 1 species
UAAAUAAGGAGUUUAUACUCUUUCUUUUAAGUCGAAAUUAAAUGCAGGUUGGAUUGCUUCUUAUUU